AUGAGUGUUGGAAUUUGUGGGUACGGAGAGACAACAUUUGGACUCUCAGAAAAAAGCUGUAAACUGGGGAACAGGCUGAGGCCCUUUGUGAAGAGAUGGGUUAAAACCAGUGAAGCAGGAGCUAUUCCAGUGUCCAGUGUCCUCAGCUCAUUCUCCCGUGGUGAUGCUGCCAGAGAGCAGAGACCAGCCAUCAGAAGCACAUUAAUUCUGGUCUUUUCUUGUAUCUCUCAAAUAGUGCCCAAAAAAAAGAGACACUGUUUGCACCCCCGGGCUCACUGGUUCAGUCUUUCUCCUUCUUCCCCGGCUUCUCACCACUCCUCAUGCACUUUUCCAUGCACCCCUGAACAUGGGCACUGGAUGAAGCCAAAAUCUGGAAGAGCCAAAAGAACUCAGCAGGAAACCAGUAGACAGAUUCUCUGGUCAGUGGAAGCCCUGCCUCUACCUGCAAUAGGAAACUGAGCCGAGAGACGGUCCCCUUACGGCCUCUAACCUGCGCAUCUCAGGCACGAG
rnacentral:lncRNA from 1 species